rnacentral:rRNA from 1 species
UACGUAGGGUGCGAGCGUUGUCCGGAAUUAUUGGGCGUAAAGAGCUCGUAGGCGGUGUGUUACGUCGGCCGUGAAAACCUGCAGCUUAACUGUGGGCGUGCGGUCGAUACGGGCAUCACUGGAGUUCGGCAGGGGAGACUGGAAUUCCUGGUGUAGCGGUGAAAUGCGCAGAUAUCAAGAGGAAUACCAACAGCGUAGGCAGCUUUCUGGAAGAUACCUGACUCUGAGGCACGAAGGCCAGGGGAGCAAACGGG